rnacentral:lncRNA from 1 species
CCCUGCCUGCCAGGCUCCCGCGCGCUCAGCGGGUGAUGGGCUACGUGCCGAGAGGGAGCCUGCGGGCGCUGCUGCCCCAGGGAUGGGCCUCCUCACAAGCUUCCCAGGCUGGAAACGCGGCUGCAAAUCUCUUCCUGGCUCCUCUCGGAAACGCCAACCCAGGCUGUGCUUCCACCCAUGCUGGCGUUGCUCCAUCAGGUGGAGAUUUAUUCCACAUCAGAGAUCAGCCUCAAGCAAGCCAGCCUUGCAGCUAGAAGCGGGGUGGCCCCGCAUAAGCUGCCUGCUGAGCGUCAGCCCCAGCUCAGGGCUGAAUUUGCAGCCGGAAAAAAUUGCCUUCGCCAACUCGCAGGGGCGGCGGAUGCUUUCAAACCACAUCUCCGCCCGGACGCAGGGCUAUGAACUGGAGCAUCGCAGGUGUGCUGCAGGCAAGUCUCUGACCGUGAUCCUGCUUCGAUAACGCCUCGAAUCUGCUCACGCGGCUUCUGUCUGCAGAAGAAAAGAGCCGUGUUUCCAGCCACAAAACCUCCCUGCUCCCGGGGAAACACUGUCCCUUUGUGCCCAUAGCACAAUCGAGCUAAACCUUGCGUCGCUAGAAGAGUUUGAACUUUUGAAUAUUUCCACUGAAAGCUCCUUUCUGCGGGAAUCCAGCCACCCGCUGUGACAACAAAUGGGCGCAUUGUGGGAUUCUCAGGGUUUCUGGCCACCGCCGAUGCAAACUUUGCCGUCGUGCUGCUUUGUGACCGCUGCCAAAGUUGUUCCGCUUUGUCGAACCAAGCCCAGGAAGCUUUUUUUUUUUUUUUCUUUCUCUCUUUGCUUUCAGCCCCAGUGCUGAUAAAUAGAGGCUGGAA